rnacentral:rRNA from 1 species
GGGAGGCUGCAGUAGGAAUUUUCCACAAUGGGCGAAAGCCUGAUGGAGCAACGCCGCGUGUGUGAUGAAGGCUUUCGGGUCGUAAAGCACUGUUGUAUGGGAAGAAAAGUUAAGGUAGGGAAUGACCUUAGCCUGACGGUACCAUACCAGAAAGGGACGGCUAAAUACGUGCCAGCAGCCGCGGUAAUACGUAUGUCCCGAGCGUUAUCCGGAUUUAUUGGGCGUAAAGCGAGCGCAGACGGUUGGUUAAGUCUGAUGUGAAAGCCCGGAGCUCAACUCCGGAAAGGCAUUGGAAACUGGUUAACUUGAGUGCAGUAGAGGUAAGUGGAACUCCAUGUGUAGCGGUGGAAUGCGUAGAUAUAUGGAAGAACACCAGCGGCGAAGGCGGCUUACUGGACUGUAACUGACGUUGAGGCUCGAAAGUGUGGGUAGCAAACAGGAUUAGAUACCCUGGUAGUCCACACCGUAAACGAUGAACACUAGGUGUUAGGAGGUUUCCGCCUCUUAGUGCCGAAGCUAACGCAUUAAGUGUUCCGCCUGGGGAGUACGACCGCAAGGUUGAAACUCAAAGGAAUUGACGGGGACCCGCACAAGCGGUGGAGCAUGUGGUUUAAUUCGAAGCAACGCGAAGAACCUUACCAGGUCUUGACAUCCUUUGAAGCUUUUAGAAAUAGAAGUGUUCUCUUCGGAGACAAAGUGACAGGUGGUGCAUGGUCGUCGUCAGCUCGUGUCGUGAGAUGUUGGGUUAAGUCCCGCAACGAGCGCAACCCUUAUUGUUAGUUGCCAGCAUUCAGAUGGGCACUCUAGCGAGACUGCCGGUGACAAACCGGAGGAAGGCGGGGACGACGUCAGAUCAUCAUGCCCCUUAUGACCUGGGCUACACACGUGCUACAAUGGCGUAUACAACGAGUUGCCAACCUGCGAAGGUGAGCUAAUCUCUUAAAGUACGUCUCAGUUCGGACUGCAGUCUGCAACUCGACUGCACGAAGUCGGAAUCGCUAGUAAUCGCGGAUCAGCACGCCGCGGUGAAUACGUUCCCGGGUCUUGUACACACCGCCCGUCACACCAUGGAAGUUUGUAAUGCCCAAAGCCGGUGGCCUAACCGUAAGGAGGGAACC